CUGUGAGCUCGAUGAGUAGGGCGGGACACGUGGUAUCCUGUCUGAAUAUGGGGGGACCAUCCUCCAAGGCUAAAUACUCCUGACUGACCGAUAGUGAACCAGUACCGUGAGGGAAAGGCGAAAAGAACCCCGGCGAGGGGAGUGAAAAAGAACCUGAAACCGUGUACGUACAAGCAGUGGGAGCACAGAGCAAUCUGUGUGACUGCGUACCUUUUGUAUAAUGGGUCAGCGACUUAUAUUCUGUAGCAAGGUUAACCGAAUAGGGGAGCCGAAGGGAAACCGAGUCUUAACUGGGCGUUAAGUUGCAGGGUAUAGACCCGAAACCCGGUGAUCUAGCCAUGGGCAGGUUGAAGGUUGGGUAACACUAACUGGAGGACCGAACCGACUAAUGUUGAAAAAUUAGCGGAUGACUUGUGGCUGGGGGUGAAAGGCCAAUCAAACCGGGAGAUAGCUGGUUCUCCCCGAAAGCUAUUUAGGUAGCGCCUCGUGAAUUCAUCUCCGGGGGUAGAGCACUGUUUCGGCAAGGGGGUCAUCCCGACUUACCAACCCGAUGCAAACUGCGAAUACCGGAGAAUGUUAUCACGGGAGACACACGGCGGGUGCUAACGUCCGUCGUGAAGAGGGAAACAACCCAGACCGCCAGCUAAGGUCCCAAAGUCAUGGUUAAGUGGGAAACGAUGUGGGAAGGCCCAGACAGCCAGGAUGUUGGCUUAGAAGCAGCCAUCAUUUAAAGAAAGCGUAAUAGCUCACUGGUCGAGUCGGCCUGCGCGGAAGAUGUAACGGGGCUAAACCAUGCACCGAAGCUGCGGCAGCGACGCUUAUGCGUUGUUGGGUAGGGGAGCGUUCUGUAAGCCUGCGAAGGUGUGCUGUGAGGCAUGCUGGAGGUAUCAGAAGUGCGAAUGCUGACAUAAGUAACGAUAAAGCGGGUGAAAAGCCCGCUCGCCGGAAGACCAAGGGUUCCUGUCCAACGUUAAUCGGGGCAGGGUGAGUCGACCCCUAAGGCGAGGCCGAAAGGCGUAGUCGAUGGGAAACAGGUUAAUAUUCCUGUACUUGGUGUUACUGCGAAGGGGGGACGGAGAAGGCUAUGUUGGCCGGGCGACGGUUGUCCCGGUUUAAGCGUGUAGGCUGGUUUUCCAGGCAAAUCCGGAAAAUCAAGGCUGAGGCGUGAUGACGAGGCACUACGGUGCUGAAGCAACAAAUGCCCUGCUUCCAGGAAAAGCCUCUAAGCAUCAGGUAACAUCAAAUCGUACCCCAAACCGACACAGGUGGUCAGGUAGAGAAUACCAAGGCGCUUGAGAGAACUCGGGUGAAGGAACUAGGCAAAAUGGUGCCGUAACUUCGGGAGAAGGCACGCUGAUAUGUAGGUGAAGUCCCUCGCGGAUGGAGCUGAAAUCAGUCGAAGAUACCAGCUGGCUGCAACUGUUUAUUAAAAACACAGCACUGUGCAAACACGAAAGUGGACGUAUACGGUGUGACGCCUGCCCGGUGCCGGAAGGUUAAUUGAUGGGGU
rnacentral:rRNA from 1 species